rnacentral:rRNA from 1 species
UACAUGGGGUGCAAACGUUGCUCGGAAUUAUUGGGCGUAAAGCGCGCGUAGGCGGUUACUCAAGUCGGAUGUGAAAGCCCUCGGCUUAACUGAGGAAGUGCACCCGAAACUGAGUAGCUAGAGUACUAAAGAGGGUCGCGGAAUUCCCGGUGUAGAGGUGAAAUUCGUAGAUAUCGGGAGGAACACCGGUGGCGAAGGCGGCGACCUGAGUAGAUACUGACGCUGAGGCGCGAAAGCGUGGGGAGCAAACAGG